rnacentral:rRNA from 1 species
GGCUCAGGAUGAACGCUAGCUACAGGCUUAACACAUGCAAGUCGAGGGGCAGCAUUUCAGUUUGCUUGCAAACUGGAGAUGGCGACCGGCGCACGGGUGAGUAACACGUAUCCAACCUGCCGAUAACUCGGGGAUAGCCUUUCGAAAGAAAGAUUAAUACCCGAUGGUAUAAUCAGACCGCAUGGUCUUGUUAUUAAAGAAUUUCGGUUAUCGAUGGGGAUGCGUUCCAUUAGGCAGUUGGUGAGGUAACGGCUCACCAAACCUUCGAUGGAUAGGGGUUCUGAGAGGAAGGUCCCCCACAUUGGAACUGAGACACGGUCCAAACUCCUACGGGAGGCAGCAGUGAGGAAUAUUGGUCAAUGGGCGCAGGCCUGAACCAGCCAAGUAGCGUGAAGGAUGACUGCCCUAUGGGUUGUAAACUUCUUUUAUAUGGGAAUAAAGUUUUCCACGUGUGGAAUUUUGUAUGUACCAUAUGAAUAAGGAUCGGCUAACUCCGUGCCAGCAGCCGCGGUAAUACGGAGGAUCCGAGCGUUAUCCGGAUUUAUUGGGUUUAAAGGGAGCGUAGGUGGACAGUUAAGUCAGUUGUGAAAGUUUGCGGCUCAACCGUAAAAUUGCAGUUGAUACUGGCUGUCUUGAGUACAGUAGAGGUGGGCGGAAUUCGUGGUGUAGCGGUGAAAUGCUUAGAUAUCACGAAGAACUCCGAUUGCGAAGGCAGCUCACUGGACUGCAACUGACACUGAUGCUCGAAAGUGUGGGUAUCAAACAGGAUUAGAUACCCUGGUAGUCCACACAGUAAACGAUGAAUACUCGCUGUUUGCGAUAUACAGUAAGCGGCCAAGCGAAAGCAUUAAGUAUUCCACCUGGGGAGUACGCCGGCAACGGUGAAACUCAAAGGAAUUGACGGGGGCCCGCACAAGCGGAGGAACAUGUGGUUUAAUUCGAUGAUACGCGAGGAACCUUACCCGGGCUUAAAUUGCAUUUGAAUAUAUUGGAAACAGUAUAGUCGUAAGACAAAUGUGAAGGUGCUGCAUGGUUGUCGUCAGCUCGUGCCGUGAGGUGUCGGCUUAAGUGCCAUAACGAGCGCAACCCUUAUCUUUAGUUACUAACAGGUCAUGCUGAGGACUCUAGAGAGACUGCCGUCGUAAGAUGUGAGGAAGGUGGGGAUGACGUCAAAUCAGCACGGCCCUUACGUCCGGGGCUACACACGUGUUACAAUGGGGGGUACAGAAGGCAGCUACCUGGUGACAGGAUGCUAAUCCCAAAAGCCUCUCUCAGUUCGGAUCGAAGUCUGCAACCCGACUUCGUGAAGCUGGAUUCGCUAGUAAUCGCGCAUCAGCCAUGGCGCGGUGAAUACGUUCCCGGGCCUUGUACACACCGCCCGUCAAGCCAUGAAAGCCGGGGGUACCUGAAGUACGUAACCGCAAGGAGCGUCCUAGGGUAAAACUGGUAAU